rnacentral:rRNA from 1 species
GACGGAGGAGGCAAGCGUUAUCCGGAAUCAUUGGGCGUAAAGCGUCCGUAGGUGGCUUGGUAAGUCUGCUGUCAAAUCACAUGGCUCAACCAUGUAACGGCAGUGGAAACUGCUGGGCUAGAGUGCGGUAGGGGUAGCGGGAAUUCCCGGUGUAGCGGUGAAAUGCGUAGAGACUGGGAAGAACACCUGUGGCGAAAGCGCGCUACUGGGUCGCAACUGACACUGAGGGACGAGAGCUAGGGGCGCGAAUGGG